CAGCUGACCCUUAUCCAACAUGGUUGGAACUGUUUGAGUCCACUUAUAAGUAGGUUUUCUUCCAUCUUUGCCACUCCGGAGACAAUAAGACCAACCCCUCCUCUUCUUCCUCCUCAGCCUACUCAACAUGAAGAUGAAGAGCAUGAAGACCUUUAUGAUGAUCCACUUCCAUUUAGUGAAUGGAAUCGGGCCAAUUAGUAGGAUUAUUGCAAAGACCAGACAUUUAUCAGGACCCUUUUGCAGAAACACAUGUGGGGCUGUAAGCGAUGCAUUUCCUGGCUUCUGACAUGAGCUAAACAUCUGUUCAAGGCAAGGCUGUAAUGAAACUGUCCCAAGGCAUCUGAGAGUGGAGAGUGAUUGGACUCCGGUGAAGACUCCAAGAUGGCGAUCGUCACCUCGGAUACCCUGACUCAGCAUUUCCGGGUUCACCUUUCCUGUUCCCGCCACCCCGACUAACGCGCAUACCCACUAGGGCGUGUCACACUGAGAAGUGCGAAACUCAACCGACCCCGCCCCUACCCCGCCCACUCCUCACCCAGCAUCCAUAAAAGCGCGCUGCCCCUUUGGCACAGCGCGACUUCCCUGGCCCUCACCCUGCGGACCAGUGAACGUCGCCCGAGAGCUCAAUAAAGAAG